CGCCGCGUGAGUGAUGAAGGUUUUCGGAUCGUAAAACUCUGUCUUUAGGGACGAUAAUGACGGUACCUAAGGAGGAAGCCACGGCUAACUACGUGCCAGCAGCCGCGGUAAUACGUAGGUGGCAAGCGUUGUCCGGAUUUACUGGGCGUAAAGAGUAUGUAGGUGGGUGCUUAAGUCAGAUGUGAAAUUCCCGGGCUCAACCUGGGAGCUGCAUUUGAAACUGGGCAUCUAGAGUGCAGGAGAGGAAAGUGGAAUUCCUAGUGUAGCGGUGAAAUGCGUAGAGAUUAGGAAGAACACCAGUGGCGAAGGCGACUUUCUGGACUGUAACUGACACUGAGAUACGAAAGCGUGGGUAGCAAACAGGAUUAGAUACCCUGGUAGUCCACGCCGUAAACGAUGAAUACUAGGUGUCGGGGGGUACCACCCUCGGUGCCGCAGCAAACGCAUUAAGUAUUCCGCCUGGGGAGUACGGUCGCAAGAUUAAAACUCAAAGGAAUUGACGGGGACCCGCACAAGCAGCGGAGCAUGUGGUUUAAUUCGAAGCAACGCGAAGAACCUUACCUAGACUUGACAUCUCCUGAAUUACUCUUAAUCGAGGAAGUCCCUUCGGGGACAGGAAGACAGGUGGUGCAUGGUUGUCGUCAGCUCGUGUCGUGAGAUGUUGGGUUAAGUCCCGCAACGAGCGCAACCCUUAUUGUUAGUUGCUACUAUUAAGUUAAGCACUCUAACGAGACUGCCGCGGUUAACGUGGAGGAAGGUGGGGAUGACGUCAAAUCAUCAUGCCCCUUAUGUCUAGGGCUACACACGUGCUACAAUGGCUGGUACAACGAGCAGCAAACCCGCGAGGGGGAGCAAAACUUGAAAGCCAGUCCCAGUUCGGAUUGUAGGCUGAAACUCGCCUACAUGAAGUUGGAGUUGCUAGUAAUCGCGAAUCAGCAUGUCGCGGUGAAUACGUUCCCGGGUCUUGUACACACCGCCCGUCACACCAUGAGAGCCGGUAACACCCGAAGCCCGUGAGGUAACCGUAAGGAGCCAGCGGUCGAAGGUGGGAUUGGUGAUUGGGGUGAAGUCGUAACAAGGUAGCCGUAGGAGAACCUGCGGCUGGAUCACCUCCUUUCUA
rnacentral:rRNA from 1 species